GUACUUAUCUGGCAGGGGAGAUACCAUGAUCAUGAAGGUGGUUUUCCUAGGGCGAGGCUUAUUCAUUGCACUCCAGAUGUGUUAAUCCUUAUGAUUUCCUCAAAUGCAGGAAAUUCAACUGCAUAAUUUGUGGUAGUGGGGGGGGGGCUGCAUUUGCACUCUCCGG